GACGACCGCUGGCGGCGUGCUUAACACAUGCAAGUCGAACGAAGUGGCGAACGGGUGCGUAACGCGUAAUCAACCUGCCCUUCAGAGGGGGCCAACAGUUGGAAACGACUGCUAAUACCGCAUACUGAAGGAGGGGAUUGCGUCUGAUUAGCUAGUUGGAGGGGUAACGGCCAAACAAUGCGAUGAUCAGUAGGCGGACUGAGAGGAUGAACGACCACAUUGUGACUGAGACAGGGCCCAGACUCCUACGGGAGGCAGCAGGUGGGAAUCUUUCGAAAUGGACGAAAGUCUGACGGAGCAACGCGGCGUGAGUGAGGACGGCCUGCGAGUUGUAAAGCUCGUUUAAUCGGGACGCGGUACCGGAAUAGAAAGCCACGGCUAACUACGUGCCAGCAGCCGCGGUAAUAC
rnacentral:rRNA from 1 species